UCACGAUUUGAUGGGAUCCAGUACUCAUCUUUGUGCAUGUAUAAUGUUAAUUUUAUAUUGAUUAUUCCACUGUCUUGCUCGGUUUCUUGCUGCACUAGAAUCUUGGAGCUUCUGGAUAUUUGGAUCAACCAUCUUUCCCAUGCUAAGUGUAAGGCUCAGCUGAGAAACGCCAAUACAUUUAGUUGGAAAGAGACCUGAUUGCUUCAACUGCGUUUAUUCUGGUUUCUUUCUGUAUCAUUCUUGUUGGAGAAAUAACAGGUACUGCAGAAGAUGCUGCUGUUGCAUUGAAUAAGAUCAUAUGAUCAAACAGGGAAAUGGAACUGAGAAGCCUGUUGUUGCUGAGUUGCAAGUAAACCAGUUUGACUAUGCCACCCACCACCUUCUGCAUUUGGUUGUGGGAGUAAAAUUUAGUCACCUGUUUGAGCUUCUAGUCUUUAGCCUCCGUUUUGGAGAAAAGUUAGAUAGAUUCCUUAAAGAUCACUAUGGCGGUAUGAUCUUCCUCCCGAGUAUCUCUGUCUCUUUAAUGUUUGAUUUUGGAUUCUGUAAAUAACCUUGAGAGGAUCAUAAAUGGUUUGUGUCAGUGCACUGGCUUUGGCCUUCUUCUUCUAGACACGGUGUUCUCACUUCUAUAGCUGUUGCAUCCGUCUGAAUGUUGCAGCCAUUGUUUCCGGCGGUAAGGGCACAGCUCAAGACAAAAUUAAGAGCCUAAGCCUAAGGGACGGUGGUUGAAUUGAAUCUCUGGCCAGUAUCGGAGCAGCAAUACACGGCAUCUUCCAAGAAAGAGGUGUUCUCUGAUAACAUUUUGCAAAGAGGAAAAGGUAAACCCUAAAUCUUGAGGAGCUGCUGACACACACACACACACACACACACAUAUAUAUAUAUAUAUAACAUCUACUAUUAGUGGAUUUAUAUUCUGAAAAUGAGACAAAAAAGGGUAUAAUAUAUGACGACGACUUAAAUUUAUAACAUCUUGAUGUCAUGACACAAGUAACUUGCAGUCCAAGUAUCUUAAAAUGCUAUUGAUCUUCACUUAUGUUUGGUUUAAUUCAUGUAU